rnacentral:rRNA from 1 species
CCUACGGGUGGCAGCAGUGAGGAAUAUUGGUCAAUGGACGAGAGUCUGAACCAGCCAAGUAGCGUGAAGGAUGACUGCCCUAUGGGUUGUAAACUUCUUUUAUAUGGGAAUAAAAUGUUCCACGUGUGGGUUUUUGUAUGUACCAUAUGAAUAAGGAUCGGCUAACUCCGUGCCAGCAGCCGCGGUAAUACGGAGGAUCCGAGCGUUAUCCGGAUUUAUUGGGUUUAAAGGGAACGUAGGUGGAUUGUUAAGUCAGUUGUGAAAGUUUGCGGCUCAACCGUAAAAUUGCAGUUGAAACUGGCAGUCUUGAGUACAGUAGAGGUGAGCGGAAUUCGUGGUGUAGCGGUGAAAUGCUUAGAUAUCACGAAGAACUCCGAUUGCGAAGGCAGCUCACUGGACUGCAACUGACACUGAGGCUCGAAAGUGUGGGUAUCAAACAGGAUUAGAUACCCCAGUAGUC